CACACCCAUCAAGGGGCUCUAUAGCCCCCCAAAUACCCCUUGGGGUUUGGGGAUCACUCCACAACCCACUUGUAAUAGACAAAGAGAAAGAGAAAAAAAUUUGUAAUUAUUCAUCUUCAAGAAGCUUUUUUUUUGUUAUUGCACUUGUUCCUCCCGAACCUUGCCAUGAUCAUUGUUUGUGAGCAAGCUUGUAUGGCCCAUGUUUGCUAAACUUCUUAUAUUUCUUCGGUUAAAGAUGACGCUUGGUAUGAAUUAAAUGUUUAAACUUUAGCAAAGUGGUGCGUUAGGUUUUGAUAAUUCUUUCGAUCUUUUUUCUUUGUUUAUGGGAUUUUGUUAUUUAGUUUUGGUCUUUGAUCUUAUGAGUGGUGUGAAGCUUAUUAGUACAUCUAUGGUGUGUAACAACCUAUAUACUAGUAAAGGGAUCCGAUUUUCAUAAUGGCUAACCCAUUUGUGGUUGAAAGAUCACAUCUUGAUAUUAUCCCUUACUUAUCAACAACUUCAUUGGAGCCUAUAUGGUCCACAUACUAGGCUUCAGUGUUAAGCCAAAACUUGGUUGACCGACAUCGCCUACACAGUCUUUGUAACACCCCAAAAACCGAAUUAUUAAUUUGCUAGUUUGUUAUCAUGUUUAUCAAAAUGAGGUAUAAUAACUGGGUUAGUAAACCUAGUUAAAUGUCUAGCAAAUUAAGUAAAGGAAUGAAGGUAAGCCAAAUAUGAUGGUGUCAUGAAUUUAAGGGGCUAAGGUUGCCAAAUUAGAAACUUGAAUUGGGUAAAAAAAAUAAUAAAAAGAAAAAUAAAAACUCACACACAUACGUGUGUGAGUCUGGACGAUCGAACAAGGGAGCAGGGCAAGGUGAAACCCUAGUUUCACCAAAUCCAUCAAAUUCAGAAGAGAUUUCAAGGAAAAUCGAAUGCAUGAGCCUCUAUUCUUGAACAUCUAACCUUGUUCAUUGAUGUGAGAGUAUAGGAAUCAUGUCAAAACGGACUCAAGCAUAAAAGAAUAACGGGUCAAGAAAAGGCGAGGAAUUGGAUACGAGCACGGACGCAUAAGGUAAGUGAUUCCGUAAUCACUUCUUAGUUUGUUCAAGUAAUGUAGCGUUUUAAUUAAUUAAACAUGAUGUAUAAUGUCAAAUAUGGUUUUAGUUGAAUGAAAUCGGUGAAUUUUUCUAAGUAGACCAAACGGGUCAAAAUGAGGUCUUAUGAUUAUAUCGAAAUGUUGUAUAAGAAAUGGCUACGGUAGUAUAACCGGUUAAUGAGUAGAAUUGCACAUAAAUACGCAAUCCGGGAAUCGGAGAUGUGGUUUAAUAGUCAAAAGACUCAGAUGUGAGUUUGGUUUAAUAGAUAUACAUUUGCGCAAGUGGAGGUUUUAGUAACAAAGUUUGAUUCGUAGAUUUAAAUGGAAUGAAUGAGUUUAAUGAAUACCGGGUAUCGGGUGCGUAAACCCCAAGUACGAAACUCUGGAUAAAAUAAAAGUAUUAUGGUUAUAAUGUUCAUGUAUGUUUUGGGUUAAAACAAAUGAGUGGUUUGAUGAAAACAUAAACGGGUCGAAUAAUUAGAAAAUGAUUAUUAAGCCGAAAGCGCGUAAGUUAAGAAUUUCCUUAAACCGAACGUGGGAUUUCAAGUCCAUAUGAUAGAGGAUUAAAUUACGAUCACGUAGGAAAAAGAAUCGGGUAAAACGGACAAGAAAUGAGAAAGUUAUGACCAAAACUGUAAAAAUUCGUCAUGCUGAAAGUUGCAGGUCUGAACCAGGCGCAAGGUUGCGCCCCCCUGGCACAAGGUUGCGCCCCUGACUGAUGUCAUCUGUAUUGCGCCAGAACUGGCACAAGGUUGCGCCAGAUUGGUUUCUUCUUGCGCCAAUUGCUGGUUCUUUCAUAUUUUUCACAUUCUUCAACUCUAAACUUGUGUGAAGGCUAUCUAAAUACGUUAUAUGCAUUAUAUAACUAUAUGUAAGUAUGUAAGAAUGUACGUGUAGAUGUGUUUAUGUUUGCAUGUAUGUUUUCGGGUGUAUUUAAAUAGAUGUAUGACUAUACAUAUAUGAAAGUAUGUACAUAUGUAUUAAAUGGGAUUGAAUGUACACAAAGGAAUAAAGCUUGUAUGUAUGUAUGUAUGUAUGUAUGUAUGUAAGUAUGUAUGUACAUAAGUAUGUAUGCAUGUAUGUAUGUAGGUAUGAAAUGUGUAUGAACAUACGUGUGUAGGUACUUAUCCAUGAAGUAGGAUUUGUUGUGCAUGAAAGAAAGGAUUUUGUAUAUAUGCUUAUAUAUAUGGCUCUAACAUGUUUGAAUGGUCAUGUUACUAAUGGCGUGCCAUGGUGAAUGAAGUGUAACGCAGGAAUAGCAAAGAAGUCUCACCACGGGUCGUAUGAUCAGAUGGAAAGCCGGAAUGUAGUACGAGAUACGAAGGAUCUUCAAGGGAUAGAGAUCAAGGACCGAGUCACAAGACAGAUUGUACGGGAACGUUGGUGUUGAAAUUUAGAAAACCCAUGUCAUGUAUUUAAUUGUAAAUGAGUCGGUUGAUGACUUCAUGUGAAAAAGUUGUGUUAAAAUGAAAUUUUAAAUAA